AGGUGGCUCCCCUUGUGGUUCCAGAUGAUUAUUCCAGCUCUAGGAGCUCCAUGCUGAUGGCAAUGUCCAAAAGCAGAAGGAUCACAUGUCCAUCCCUGAAAGAAUCUCUGUGGCUACGCAUGGAACUGAGGGACUCAAGAAUCUCAUUCCUGAGGAUUUAUGCCAGUAAACAAUUAUAACAGAAGAAACAAAGUUAUAUGCGAAAACGUAUCCUUUUCAGUGUUCAUGAUGGUAGUAAUUUGUCUUACAGAAGAAAAAUGGUCACUUGUGAGAAUUAAAUUGUUGACCAUGAAGACCUUUUAGAAACAUGAAAAAAAUGGUGAAUAAAAAGAAAAUAUUUAUAUAAAUGAAACAAUUGCAAUGCACUAAAAAAGACAGAUCUAUGCAUGAGUAUUUUUGUGCACAUAGGGGCCAUUUCUUCUGUGUUCACUGGUAUGUGGAACCCAUUGCCUACUACACAGUAGGCACAUUAAAAAAUACUUCUCGACUCUUUUGUUACCAGCUUUAUGUAUUUUUACACAAAAACAGUUUACCAAAGAAGGAAUAAAAACUAAAACAAAAACUCCAGUUGCCAAAAGUUAGCGUGUGGGUUUUUUCUGCCAGAAAUAACAAUUUUUUCUGUUUUCUCCACUUGGUCCAUGUCCCACUUAGGCUCAUUCUAAGACUUCACUGAGCAAUGGCAAAGACUUGAGCUCCCAUUAAAUUCCUCAGGCCAUUGUACUUAUCAACAAAGACUUUUCUGCCCUGCCUUUGCCUCCAGAUGCCAGGGCUUGGGCUUCUGAGAGUCCGAAAGCACCCUUGUUUAUAUUCCUAUCAGAGAUUGUUGAUUUGCCUGAAGGAAAUCUUUCCUUUCAUUUCAUGUAGUCUGAGAGGUAACUGACGAUGAGAAUAGUCUCAGUAGUGUCUCCAAGGCCAAUUAAAAGCUUCUGAUAGAAUUCAAAAUUCAGAUCUGAAUCCUAUGAACAUGGUUAUUGGGAAUGAUUGACAGAUGGAGGCCAGGUAUCAAACAGACUUCAGAUGUUGAUGAAGCCUCCAUUCAAUGAAUGACCCCUGAAUGUGGGGACAAGUGGCCAGUUAGUGUGUAACUUCACUAACUUCAGAAACUCUCCUAAUAUUUUCUAAUUCCAACAAACAAUAAUUAUUCUUUUUCUUUGAGCCACACAAAGAACUCAUAACCCUCCACUAGGAAAUUAAAGUUUAUUUUCAAUUUCCUUGGGCAAGGCAAAGGCAGGGGUAAAUUAACAGUCUGCAGCUUGUCUGGAACUAGAAAAGCAUUGAAAAUCUGGUGAGGAGUUACAAUGUAGGAAAAUUGUCCAAAGACAAUGCAAUAUUUAGCCGAUGAUAAUCUCAAAGAUAUACUCAGAGAAGAGCAGCUAGAUGAGUAGGCAAUAUCUCAGGGAGCAAAGGAAAAAUGGAGAGAGGAGGCAGUUAUUGCAAUGAUUUAGACCAAGGAGAAAGCAAUGUUUUAUCUGUCUACACCAAUCUAAUAUACUGGACAACACAACAUCUGUUUAUUUAACUGGAUCGAAAGUAGACCAUUCAGUGUCACCUAUAAUUUACUCAUUGUAAAGUAAAUUUUCUGUCUUUAUUUCUCACCUGACUAU